UUGAACUGAAGCAGACCUACAAAGAAGAGUGAAGAAAACUUUCACCGCAGCAAUAUCACGGACUGAUCUCUAUAUAUCCAAAAUGUUUUCUUGGUGUCCGAUACUUUUUCACAUGGGUGAUAUCACCAUGAGGUAACUUUAUUGAGUCGAUAAUUUAAAUUAUAUUUUAAAACCCAUUUUGUGUUAACUCAUGUUGCCCAUGUCGUAUGUUGAAUAUCUAAAACAAUGUAACAGUUUACUCGAUUUACUCCAAAUCAGCCUGCGAGUAACCAUCACUCUAAGGAAGUAACCUCUGAUCUCUGAUUGUUCUUGUUUUUGCCGCGUCACUGCCACAUGUUUGAUGUCUUUAAAUGAAUAAAAUGUUUUCUGAUUAUAAACCUGGGUGAAUUUAAUUCUUAAAGUUUGAGUUAAAGGAGUUUGAGGAGGUCUACGCUCCUCAGCUGGUUUGUUUGGAGUUCUUUGAAGCACAGAAACUCACCUGCAGCGGCACAGCGAGCCGUUCUUGGCUCCAUAUAGCAGAGCUACAGAGCAAGAGAGAGGCGGUUGGCAUCCCAGUGGCUGCCUGGACAGAGGGGUCAUUCUUCUCCUCGGAUCCCCACGGUCGUCUCUUUCGGACCACAGUUUGUCCGUCAAUCUGCUCGCCGUUUACUGAGGAAAUGUUCACUUAGUGCAGGAAGUCUGAGGUUUCCCCAUGUUUGAUUUCAGCAGUUACCCAAACAACACUGGUGUCAGGCAUCAGGUCUUAACAGCAUAGGUGGGAAUUUGUAAAUCCACAGGGAUUUACAACCUCAGGUCACUGUAGAAUAAUGCCAAAAUAAUAUACAACUCAUCACCUGUUAUACACAGCUCUGUUAACACUAAUUACUCAUAGUUGAUCAUUUUUACACUACUUAAAGCUGUACGACUGCUUGGUUUUUUUAAGAUUAAGUCUUA